rnacentral:rRNA from 1 species
GGACUACUGGGGUAUCUAAUCCUGUUUGCUCCCCUUGCUUUCGCGCCUCAGCGUCAGGAAUAAGCUAGAAAGCCGCCUUCGCCACCGGUGUUCUUCCACAUAUCUACGCAUUUCACCGCUACACGUGGAAUUCCACUUUCCCCGCCUAUCCUCUAGAAAUGUAGUUUCUGAUGCAGCUCCAAAGUUGAGUUCUGGAAUUUCACAUCUGACUUACAUCCCCGCCUACGCGCCCUUUACGCCCAAUAAUUCCGAUUAACGCUUGCACCCUCUGUAUUACCGCGGCUGCUGGCAC